rnacentral:rRNA from 1 species
UACGUAGGGUGCAAGCGUUAAUCGGAAUUACUGGGCGUAAAGCGUGCGCAGGCGGCUUUGCAAGACAGUUGUGAAAUCCCCGGGCUCAACCUGGGAACUGCAUCUGUGACUGCAUCGCUGGAGUGCGGCAGAGGGGGAUGGAAUUCCGCGUGUAGCAGUGAAAUGCGUAGAUAUGCGGAGGAACACCGAUGGCGAAGGCAAUCCCCUGGGCCUGCACUGACGCUCAUGCACGAAAGCGUGGGGAGCAAACAGG